rnacentral:rRNA from 1 species
UACGUAGGGUGCAAGCGUUGUCCGGAAUUAUUUGGGCGUAAAGAGCUCGUAGGCGGUCUGUCGCGUCUGCUGUGAAAACUCAGGGCUUAACCCUGAGCUUGCAGUGGGUACGGGCAGACUAGAGUGCGGUAGGGGAGACUGGAAUUCCUGGUGUAGCGGUGAAAUGCGCAGAUAUCAGGAGGAACACCGGUGGCGAAGGCGGGUCUCUGGGCCGUAACUGACGCUGGAGGAGCGGAAAAGCAUAGGGGAGCGAACAGG